GCAGGAAGAUUACUGUGAGUUCAAGACCAGCCCCAACUGGUCAGCAGUUGGCUGUGUCAUGCUCUCCCUGCCGCCAUCAGCCUUCAAGUCCACCUGAGGCCCAGAGCAGAGUCUGCCUGGUUUUAGACUGGAACCUUCAAACUGUGAGCCAUGAUAAACCUUUCUUUUUUAUGGAAAUUGUGAAUCAACAAAGUGCAGCUCUGAUGGCACCAGAUGACGGAACACAGCCAGCUGCUGGUCACUGCUACUGUCUGCCGCAGUCUUCUGGUGCUGGCUUGUGCUGGACACGGUAGGUUUACCCUUCCAGAUGUUGGUUUCUGCUGCUGAUCUUGGCUGCUGGUUUCAAGCUCUUCAGUGCUAAUGGUGCUUAGUGUUUAUUACUCUUUGUUUUAAGAUGAUUGCUCUGUCCAUGCUGCUCAGGUCGCUGCUUCUUUGCAGUUCAUCUUCACCCCUGCACAGCCUCACUGGCCUACACUCCCCUUGCCUUGCCCUUGGUGCAUGGUCUUCUGGAGUACAUGACACUGUGGCCUCCCGGGGCCAACUGAAGACUUCUUUGCGAAGCAGCCUGUGAUGGACUGGGGUCGCUGUCUCUAGUGACCUUGAGGGUAUCACCCUGCCACCUGGGCCUUCCUAGGGACUCUGGAGAGGAAGGCUUCCCUUCCGAAGGUGGGGCUGCCUCAGUUUGAAAACUAGGGUGGGGCACAGGGAGCUUGGGGCUCCAUGUGCAAAUCUUGGAGACACAGGGCGAUCACUACCUUUGAUUCCUCCUGAGAAGACAGCCCCCCAACUCAAGUGCCUGGGUUUGAGGGAAGCCAGGCUCUAGGGAGAUGUCUCAAUGGGGGCCUGAUGGGCAGCUCUCUACCGCUUUGUGCAUCCUGCUGUUCUGUUGCUGUUGGCCUGGUUGCUGUGGAAUUCUGACUCGCAAUACCCAAAACCUCCUCAAAAGAAUAUGCACAGGAAAAUUACAGGGAGACGGCUGAAGUCCCUAGCAAAAUUGGAAAAAUCAGCGCAGCCCCCAUUGCAGAGUGUGUGGACUCAUCCCCUCCACUCUGAUUAAGGGGACUUGGUGUCUGUGAGGCGUUCUGCAAGAGGCCUCUGAUUGGGAGACAAUUUUGUGGCUUUAGCCUAUAAUUUGGAUGCAAGGGAUCGGGAGCAGUUAAUGUGAUAACCUCACCAACCUCCGCCUGCGACCAGACGUCAUGGACAGCCUUGUAAGCAGCCAUCAAAGUGGGUGCUGCAAACACUUGGCUGUUGGGCUGCUGUGCUGCUGGGCUUCAAAGGCAGCUCAGAGGAGCCCUUUGUGGUCACACGGGGAAAUCUGGAAAGUCAUCGGUCCCGUCUACCAGCUAGCUGCAAACAUGCCCUGCUGUUGGGUCUUAGGUUCGCUGGACUUCUGGGUUGGCUCUUCCUGGGCCCCAGAUGCCAGAGGCUUUGAGGCAAGAGGGAGGUGCAUGAAUGUCCUGCCUUGGCAUCCUGCACACUGUAGGGGCUUUGCAGGAAUAAGAAGUGAAGGAGAUGGAGGGACAAAAGACAUGUCUUGGGCUUGGAGUAUGGCAGCCACUCCAGAUAGGGUGUUUGGCCCUAGCCGUCUUCGUCCUGUUCAGGAUUACUUCAGUGUUGCCUAGAACUUGGGAACAUGUAGGUUCUUUAUGGCUAGUGGCCAUUUUUGUGCAUUGCUUUGCCAAGAUCAGAAGACUGAGAAGACUGUGUGCAGGGGCAUGGGCACUGGGACGGGGAUGGGGAUAAGGAAGGGGGAGGGGUUGGCGUCACAGCUGUGGUCCCUUCCUCUGUCCCUGCAUCCCCCAUCCCCCGCAAUUCCCAUUCACCACAUUGCUCCUGUGAGCAUCAGUGACAUACUGGCUUCUGCACAGUCUCUGAAGUUCUGGUUCUGCAUUGAUACUUCUCCGGUUCAGCUCCUCCUGACCCAGUGUGACCAGUGUGUCUGAAGCCUCUUCCCCUGUGCUUGUGUGCAAGAAGACGGGAAGCUUUCAAACAGGAGUGGCUGCCUGGGACACGAAGACCAAUGGACCCACAGAGCAGAGGGUGAAUGAGACCUGAUCCUCACUUUAACCAAGAUCUAAUCAGAGGUCAGUUAGUUGAGCUGACACCGUGGAUGGGGAACCAGGCUUUAGUUUCUUCCCCUUUCUAAAGGUUAACAAAGAUACACAAGCAUCUAGUGCUAACUAUACUUUCCGGUUUGACUUCUGCAGUGCAUGUGAUUUUUGAUAACAUCUCUGGACUACAUGAUAAUGCAACCCAGUGGUUUUUCCACAAGGGUCACUAAACAAUGACAUCCAAGGAAAUGAGUCUCUAGUGACAAGCCACAGAGCUCUGGUCCUGUUCAAGUCCUAGAUCAAAAACUUCAAUAAGAAGUCUAAAGAGCAUGUUUAAAUAGCUAGCAAAUGAGAGAGAACUUAUAAUCCAAAGGUUGCGUCUAAUUACAGUUGAAUUGGAUAAGCUUUCCUCUCCUGGGGAGAAAUCCAGGUUGUUUCAAAGUUUUCAGUUUUACCAAUAAUAUCUUCAUACAAAAUACUCUUCUUAUUCUCAGUGCAAUUGUCAGCAUCCUAGUGCAUAGUGAACUAUUGAUAAAGUUAUAAAAAAAGAUUCUUAGGGAAGUGAAAUUAAUUGGAUGACUACUACACAAUUUGGAGAUUCACAGUGCCCAUUUGUGUGUAAAAGUCACUGAGAAGUCCCGCACUAUAGAGACUAUAGUUUUUUUUUGGUCAGAUUACUCUUUUAAUGUAAUAUUUAUUUAAAUCCUUUGGCAGCAUUCCAGAAAUACUAUUUGGGAAACAGUGCUUCAGCAUAUUUUUUGAAGUGAUGUAAAAAAAAAACCUCUUUUUUCCCAAUAAAAACAAAAAAGGCUGUCAGAAUACCUUCACACAACAAAACUGAAUUACCACAGAUAGCACUGGCAAUACAGAAAUCUAAUUUCCCUACAGCCUUCCUACAACUUAGGGUCUUACCAUUUUAUUUCUUUCUAGCUAGUAGGUAUCUAAAGAUACUUUCAUAUCAUUUUUCACUUUAUUUCUUUAAUUGCUGGUGAAGCUUUUUAUUUUUUUAUAUGGUAAUUUGUUAUCUGAAUUUUCCAGCACAUAAACCAUAUAUUCUUCUUCUCGGAUCACUUAUGAACUUGAACCUGGAAAUUGACCUUGUACAUUUGAUACACAUAUUUCAUCUGUGUGAUGACUUAACUUAUUUAUGUUUAUUAUACUUUUUCUGUGUUUUUAUCAAGCAUAUGAUUAUGUAAGAUUUUUAAAUUGCUAUUUUACAUAUUCAAACCCUCCCUUUUGUCUCCAAUGAGAUGUCCUCAUUUCCUUAGUCUGUCUGUUUCUUUUACACAGAUGGGAAAAAAUGCAGUUCUUUCCUUCUAGCUUGGUAAGAGAAACCUGAAAAAAAAUAAAAACUUUGUUUUCUCACUGC